rnacentral:rRNA from 1 species
CACGUAGGGCGCAAGCGUUGUCCGGAAUUAUUGGGCGUAAAGAGCUCGUAGGCGGUCUGUUGCGUCCGCUGUGAAAACUCGGGGCUUAACCCCGAGCCUGCAGUGGAUACGGGCAGACUAGAGGUAGGUAGGGGAGAAUGGAAUUCCCGGUGUAGCGGUGAAAUGCGCAGAUAUCGGGAGGAACACCGGUGGCGAAGGCGCCACUCUGGGCCGGUACUGACGCUGAGGAGCGAAAGCGUGGGUAGCAAACAGG